rnacentral:rRNA from 1 species
AUACGUAGGGUGCAAGCGUUAAUCGGAAUUACUGGGCGUAAAGCGUGCGCAGGCGGUUUUGUAAGACAGAGGUGGAAUCCCCGGGCUCAACCUGGGAACUGCCUUUGUGACGGCAAGGCUAGAGUACGGCAGAGGGGGAUGGAAUUCCGCGUGUAGCAGUGAAAUGCGUAGAUAUGCGGAGGAACACCGAUGGCGAAGGCAAUCCCCUGGGCCUGUACUGACGCUCAUGCACGAAAGCGUGGGGAGCAAACAGGAGUAGAUACCCUGGUAGUCCACGCCCUAAACGAUGUCAACCGGUUGUUGGGUCUUCAUUGACUCAGUAACUAAGCUAACACGUGAAGUUGACCGCCUGGGGAGUACGGCCGCAAGGUUGAAACUCAAAUGAAUUGACGGGG